rnacentral:rRNA from 1 species
GACGAACGCUGGCGGCGUGCUUAACACAUGCAAGUCGAACGGAAAGGCCCUUCGGGGUACUCGAGUGGCGAACGGGUGAGUAACACGUGGGUGAUCUGCCCUGCACUUUGGGAUAAGCCUGGGAAACUGGGUCUAAUACCGAAUAGGACCGCGCGCUUCAUGGUGUGUGGUGGAAGGCUUUUGCGGUGUGGGAUGGGCCCGCGGCCUAUCAGCUUGUUGGUGGGGUAAUGGCCUACCAAGGCGACGACGGGUAGCCGGCCUGAGAGGGUGACCGGCCACACUGGGACUGAGAUACGGCCCAGACUCCUACGGGAGGCAGCAGUGGGGAAUAUUGCACAAUGGGCGCAAGCCUGAUGCAGCGACGCCGCGUGAGGGAUGACGGCCUUCGGGUUGUAAACCUCUUUCACCAGGGACGAAGCGCAAGUGACGGUACCUGGAGAAGAAGCACCGGCCAACUACGUG